GCCUCCCUAGCUCAGUCGGCAGAGCGCGGCCAUGGUAAGGCCGAGGCCACCGGUUCGAUCCCGGUGGGAGGCU
rnacentral:tRNA from 1 species